AGCGAACGCUGGCGGCAGGCUUAACACAUGCAAGUCGAGCGGGCAUCUUCGGAUGUCAGCGGCAGACGGGUGAGUAACACGUGGGAACGUACCCUUCGGUUCGGAACAACUCUGGGAAACUGGAGCUAAUACCGGAUACGCCCUUAUGGGGAAAGGUUUACUGCCGAAGGAUCGGCCCGCGUCUGAUUAGCUAGUUGGUGGGGUAACGGCCUACCAAGGCGACGAUCAGUAGCUGGUCUGAGAGGAUGAUCAGCCACACUGGGACUGAGACACGGCCCAGACUCCUACGGGAAGCAGCAGUGGGGAAUAUUGGACAAGGGGCGCAAGCCUGAUCCAGCCAUGCCGCGUGAGUGAUGAAGGCCUUAGGGUUGUAAAGCUCUUUUGUCCGGGACGAUAAUGACGGUACCGGAAGAAUAAGCCCCGGCUAACUUCGUG
rnacentral:rRNA from 1 species